rnacentral:rRNA from 1 species
UACGAAGGGGGCUAGCGUUGCUCGGAAUCACUGGGCGUAAAGCGCACGUAGGCGGAUUGUUAAGUCAGGGGUGAAAUCCUGGAGCUCAACGUCCAGAACUGCCUUUGAUACUGGCGAUCUUGAGUCCGGGAGAGGUGAGUGGAACUGCGAGUGUAGAGGUGAAAUUCGUAGAUAUUCGCAAGAACACCAGUGGCGAAGGCGGCUCACUGGCCCGGUACUGACGCUGAGGUGCGAAAGCGUGGGGAGCAAAGCA